rnacentral:rRNA from 1 species
ACGGGUGCGUAACGCGUAUGCAACCUGCCUGACACAGGGGGAUAAUCCGAAGAAAUUUGGUCUAAUACCCCAUAAUACCGAUAUAGGCAUCUAUGUUGGUUGAAAGCUUGGUGGUGUCAGAUGGGCAUGCGUUGUAUUAGCUAGUUGGUGAGGUAACGGCUCACCAAGGCGAUGAUACAUAGGGGGACUGAGAGGUUAACCCCCCACCACUGGUACUGAGACACGGACCAGACUCCUACGGGAGGCAGCAUG